ACUCCUACGGGAGGCAGCAGUGGGGAAUUUUGCGCAAUGGGGGAAACCCUGACGCAGCAACGCCGCGUGGAGGAUGAAGUCCUUCGGGACGUAAACUCCU
rnacentral:rRNA from 1 species